rnacentral:rRNA from 1 species
GACGAACGCUGGCGGCGUGCUUAACACAUGCAAGUCGAACGGAAAGGCCCUGCUUUUGUGGGGUGCUCGAGUGGCGAACGGGUGAGUAACACGUGAGUAACCUGCCCUUGACUUUGGGAUAACUUCAGGAAACUGGGGCUAAUACCGGAUAGGAGCUCCUGCUGCAUGGUGGGGGUUGGAAAGUUUCGGCGGUUGGGGAUGGACUGGCGGCUUAUCAGCUUGUUGGUGGGGUAGUGGCUUACCAAGGCUUUGACGGGUAGCCGGCCUGAGAGGGUGACCGGCCACAUUGGGACUGAGAUACGGCCCAGACUCCUACGGGAGGCAGAAGUGGGGAACAUUGCACAAUGGGCGGAAGCCUGAGGCAGCAACGCCGCGUGCGGGAUGACGGCCUUCGGGUGGUAAACCGCUUUCGCCGGUGACGAAGCGGGAGUGACGGUAACGAGUAAAGAAGCACCGGCUAACUACGUG